AGUGAACGCUGGCGGUAGGCCUAACACAUGCAAGUCGAACGGCAGCACAGUAAGAGCUUGCUCUUACGGGUGGCGAGUGGCGGACGGGUGAGGAAUACUUCGGAAUCUACUUUUUCGUGGGGGAUAGCGUAGGGAAACUUACGCUAAUACCGCAUACGACCUACGGGUGAAAGCAGGGGAUCUUCGGACCUUGCGCGAUUGAAUGAGCCGAUGUCGGAUUAGCUAGUUGGCGGGGUAAAGGCCCACCAAGGCGACGAUCCGUAGCUGGUCUGAGAGGAUGAUCAGCCACACUGGAACUGAGACACGGUCCAGACUCCUACGGGAGGCAGCAGUGGGGAAUAUUGGACAAUGGGCGCAAGCCUGAUCCAGCCAUACCGCGUGGGUGAAGAAGGCCUUCGGGUUGUAAAGCCCUUUUGUUGGGAAAGAAAAGCAGCAGGUUAAUACCCCGCUGUUCUGACGGUACCCAAAGAAUAAGCACCGGCUAACUUCGUG
rnacentral:rRNA from 1 species